UGCCCAGUGACAUUGUUCAACGGCCGCGGUAUCCUAACCGUGCGAAGGUAGCGUAAUCACUUGUUCUUUAAAUGAGGACUAGUAUGAAAGGCAUCACGAGAGUCAUACUGUCUCCUUUCUCUAAUCAGUGAAACUAAUCCCCCCGUGAAGAAGCGGGGAUAGAAAUAUAAGACGAGAAGACCCUAUGGAGCUUUAAACAUAUAAUAUAUGCCCUUUUAACUUCAAAUUUCAGAAAAAUCUCUUAUCUUGGUAUAAUAACUAAUAGUUUUUGGUUGGGGUGACCACGGAAUAAAAAACAACUUCCACAAUGAAAGAUUCUCCUUCACUAAGUUAAGGACUACAGCCCUAUACAUCAAUAAAUUGACAUAAUUGACCCAACAUAUUGAUCAAUGAACCAAGUUACCCUAGGGAUAACAGCGCAAUCCACUUAAGAGCUCUUAUCGACAAGUGGGCUUACGACCUCGAUGUUGGAUCAGG
rnacentral:rRNA from 1 species